UACGGAGGGUGCAAGCGUUAUCCGGAUUCACUGGGUUUAAAGGGAGCGCAGGCGGGCUUGUAAGUCAGUGGUGAAAUACCCGUGCUUAACAUGGGAACUGCCAUUGAUACUAUAGGUCUUGAAUAUCGUUGAGGUUUGCGGAAUGGGUCAUGUAGCGGUGAAAUGCAUAGAUAUGACCCGGAACACCUAUUGCGAAGGCAGCAGGCUAAGCGAAGAUUGACGCUGAGGCUCGAAAGCGUGGGGAUCAAACAGG
rnacentral:rRNA from 1 species